UACAGAGGGUGCGAGCGUUGUCCGGAUUUAUUGGGCGUAAAGGGCGCGUAGGCGGUUGGAUAAGUCAGCUGUGAAAACCACGGGCUUAACUCGUGGCCUGCAGUUGAGACUGUCUGGCUUGAGUGUGGGAGAGGAGAGUGGAAUUCCUGGUGUAGCGGUGAAAUGCGUAGAUAUCAGGAGGAACACCGGUGGCGAAGGCGGCUCUCUGGACCACAACUGACGCUGAGGCGCGAAAGCUAGGGGAGCAAACAGG
rnacentral:rRNA from 1 species